rnacentral:rRNA from 1 species
GACGUAGGGCGCGAGCGUUGUCCGGAUUUAUUGGGCGUAAAGAGCUCGUAGGCGGCUUGUCGCGUCGACUGUGAAAACCCGCGGCUCAACCUCGGGCCUGCAGUGGGUACGGGCAGACUAGAGUGCGGUAGGGGAGAUUGGAAUUCCUGGUGUAGCGGUGGAAUGCGCAGAUAUCAGGAGGAACACCAAUGGCGAAGGCAGAUCUCUGGGCCGUAACUGACGCUGAGGAGCGAAAGCAUGGGGAGCGAACAGG